rnacentral:rRNA from 1 species
UACGUAGGGGGCAAGCGUUGUCCGGAUUUAUUGGGCGUAAAGAGCGUGUAGGCGGCCAGAUAGGUCCGUUGUGAAAACUCGAGGCUCAACCUCGAGACGCCGAUGGAAACCAUCUGGCUAGAGUCCGGAAGAGGAGAGUGGAAUUCCUGGUGUAGCGGUGAAAUGCGCAGAUAUCUGGAGGAACACCGGUGGCGAAGGCGGCAUCCUGGACCAACACUGACGCUGAGGAGCGAAAGCCAGGGGAGCAAAGCGGG